ACAUUGGUUUAAUUCCUUUCUUUAUCA
rnacentral:tRNA from 1 species